CAAGACAUGAGCUUAUAUCAAGAGUCAGCUGCUAAACUGACUGAGACACUCAGGCACCCCGGUAUUGGUUUCUGAUCUGCAGCUGAAUCUGACAUUGAGUGCUGCAAUGAAUGAAGCCCUACAUAUGUCAGUUCGCAUUGGUGUGAGAGUAAUUGCAGGACAGAUUCUGAGCACUGGAAUUGUUGGGUCAAAGUUAUGGCCUUAUCUUUCCACUUAAAGAAUUCCCUUUAGGAGGGGUGGAGCAAGAUGGUGGAGGAGUAGGAGACCUGGAUUUUGUCUGGUCUCAGGAAUUCAGCUGGAUAGGGAUCAAACCAUUCUGAACACCUACAGACUCAACAGGAGAUUGAAGAAAAGAAUAGCAUCAACUCUCUGAACAGAAAAGUGACCGCUUUC